GAGUUUGAUCCUGGCUCAGGAUGAACGCUAGCGGCAGGCUUAACACAUGCAAGUCGAGGGGCAUCGGGAGGGAAGCUUGCUUUCCUUGCCGGCGACCGGCGCACGGGUGAGUAACACGUAUGCAACCUGCCCUCUUCAGGGGGACAACCUUCCGAAAGGGAGGCUAAUCCCGCGUAUAUCGGUUUCGGGCAUCCGAGAUCGAGGAAAGAUUCAUCGGAAGAGGAUGGGCAUGCGGCGCAUUAGCUUGACGGCGGGGUAACGGCCCACCGUGGCGACGAUGCGUAGGGGUUCUGAGAGGAAGGUCCCCCACACUGGUACUGAGACACGGACCAGACUCCUACGGGAGGCGGCAGUGAGGAAUAUUGGUCAAUGGGAGAGAUCCUGAACCAGCCAAGCCGCGUGAGGGAAGACGGCCCUAUGGGUUGUAAACCUCUUUUGUCGGAGAACAAAACCCGGGACGUGUCCCGGACUGCGUGUAUCCGAAGAAAAAGCAUCGGCUAACUCCGUG
rnacentral:rRNA from 1 species